rnacentral:lncRNA from 1 species
ACUUGAAGUGCCCCAAACCCCCAAGUACUAACUGCAGAGUUCCUUGGCCUUUUCACUGAUUAGGAGACUUUCCGCAUUUCUCUUCUUGGUUGCACGAAGCCUGUUCACAUAGGAAAUGUAUCCAUCCACGUCAGAUUUCCUUUUGCAGCCUGCAUAGUUCAUGUAACGUAUUUUCCCAAAAAUUGGUCGUUCCUUCCAACCCUGAAAUUCCAGACAAAUUACCUAAUCAGAGAAUUUCACUGACAUCUUUGUCAUUCCCUAUUGUAUCACUUCCAGUUGUCUAAGAAAGAACCAAUCACUCACAUCACUGGGGUUAUAAUGAGUGGAAAGUUGGGACGAAAAACAGAGAUUAAAAUAGAAAACUAUGGACAUAAACCUGGUCAUGAACACCACAUAUUGACCACAUGCAACCAACAUAUCCAUUUGGAUCUCUUCCGUCUAUUUCAUACUGCAAGAAGUGUUAUCAGCCAAAGAGGUCUAGGUGAAAACUUGACAACAACCUCGAUACGAGCAUAAUACAGUUGUACUUGCAUACCUUGUUAUUUAAAUAUAUGGAUAUUUCGAGGGCUUCUUCAGGUCCUCUUGUCCACUCAAGGAUCUUUUUUGCCCAAUACAUCCUGCAGAUGAUGUUUAUGUUAACAAGUAUCAGCAACUUCAUCUUAACAAAACUCUGAUUAGAAUAGUAAACCAAUUAACCAUACAGAGAACAAUUCCCCACCGCAUAAAACCAUGCAUCUUCCCAUAAUGAACCAUCUCAAGUUGGGAAGCAUUCCAGAGCUGCAAAGCAUGAGAACAUGAAACAGAAGGUCAUAAGAAAAUGAUACAGCAGACAACCUGAUAUACAACCAAGGUGAUAUGCAAAUACAUAAGCUUUAUGAUGUAGAAGAUCAGUUAACUUACUGGAUCAGCUGUUUGUGCCUUCUCCAAUUGCUCCCUCCUGCAAUUUUGAAUUUUUCUUUUACACUUCAUAAACGUUAUCACUUCACAAACAAAAAUCAACAUAUGACAACAAAGGACAACUGAUAUACUGACGUGUAAAUAUGUUCUCGCUUAUCCAAAGCAUGGUCCCUUAAGGUCUUACGUGCCCAUUCCCACGCCCCUUGCAAUGAAUCAUAAUGAGGCUGGUAGAAGCAGUAGUUGUCAGCAAGUUCUCUGCGCACAAUCAACUCCUCCAAAAAUGCAUCCACUGCCUAUUAAUAGCAUGUAAAAGUAGGAAAAUAAGUAAUAAGUUAUAUGAAGAGUUGAAUUAUUGAAAGACAACAUCAAACUGCAGAAAGUUCUGGACAUAGCAAAGUCAGAACCAGUAAGGAAAAUGUGAAAGCAAAACACAAAUAUUCAACUAUAAUUUAAAAUCACAAACCAGAGGACUGAGAUUUUGGACGCUACGUGCCUCCAAGGCACACCUCUGCGCAGAUAUUUGCCCAAAAUGCAAAUAUGGAGAAAGACCAGACACCCCUCUUGGUUUCAAGGGGUUAUUCCGGUCUGAUGAAUAACCCUUCAACCUUUUUGUCAAGAAUCCACUUUGGCUACCCAUCAAAACUUCCAUGGCUGCCUUUUCUCCCGGUUCGCAACAGUCAACUUCAGGAACUUCUGCUCCUUUCCUAGUCAUACGAUAAAACAUCAUCAAUAAACAGAAUCCCCAACAAUCCCAAAGCAUGUCAACAAAAAAUAAACAACACCAAACCUUAAAACUUCAUCAAUAAGACCAUCCCAAUCAAUCGCCGGACUAGCGCCCACCCAUCUCACAACCGGUGGCUGCAGCCAAGGAAAUUCAAUAAGAUACUCAGGCAGCCUUUUAUUAAUCUUACUCCUUAUAGUCCUAGCACUAUACUCCAGCUUCUCCGAUGCCGCCCAAAUAGGCACCACAUUGUGUGCAUCAACUUCAUGUACGGUCACAAAAUCACUAAGCCUCUUACACAUUUCCUCCUUACAUUUCCGAACCUCCCUCAAAGGUGAAAAAUCUGUCACCAAAAGUGAAGCCCCGCAUUCCCUCACAAAAUCCGGUAUCGUCUCCUCCGCUUCUCCCUGCAAUUAAAACCCACCUAUAUAAACCCCAAAACACAAAAAACAAAAUCCCCAAUUCUUCCAAUACCAAAAUCAAAAUCAAAAUCAAAAUCGAACCAAUUGGGUACUUAAAGAUUGAAUUUUUCCACAUACCCGGACAAGAAAGAACGGAACUUGACACGUGUCUUCAAGAUCAGAAUGCAAUUGCUUCAAUCCCCUCAGCAUAAACCCUAAAUGGCGCGCUUUGGCGCCAAGAAAUUGAUCGAACAAAUUGAACGCGACGGCGACCGGGACAUGAGCCUUGUUGGCCUCUUCGACGGCGUGGAUCAAAGCCCAAUUGUCUUUGACCCUCUGGUCUCUGAACAUCCAAUAAACAACAGGACCCGGGUUCGGUUCGACGGGUUUGGUUCCUUGCUUCAGUACCCGAAACCGACCCGGUUGAACGGAGGCGGUGUUUGCGGCCAUGGAGGAGUAGAAGGGGAGCGGAAUGCGGUUGCUGAAUUGCGCCGGCGGCGUAUGGAGGAUGUGGGCCAGGGUGGGGUUAGGUUAAGAGAGAGAAAUCGGAGAAGGUGAAAAUGGGGAAAGAGGAGAAUAGAAAAAAAAGGGAGGGAAACUCAACGGUUAAAGGUGUGGUUUUGAAUGGAGAUACGUGGCGUGAUGAGAGCGAAGGGGUUUGGGCUAUAACCCAUGAAAAUACCUGGAAGCUCAUAGGCCCAAGAAGAACAAGUGGGCUUGUCAGAGCCGAUCCACAUCUAGGCGGUCAGGGCCUAUACGGGUUGGCGGGUCCUGCUUUUAAAAAAGAAGACAAGCUACUUGUUCAAAACCAAUUGAUUUUUGUUUGCAGUUGAUUUUUAUUCUACGUUUUAUGAAUUUCGUAGUAAUCAGAAGAGAAGAAGAAAUAUGUAGAUGGGUAUGUGUUUUUAGAAUUAUCUGAUUCUACAUGUCUUUUUUUCUGAAUUUGAUGAAGGUAAGCGGAGCUGUUGAAGAAAAUUAGAAGAAGAAACCCAGUGAUUCUAAAGCCACUGAUUUAAUCACUUACUGAAUCAACUAUAGCAUCAGUCAAGUGUUUGACAGUAGAACUGAGGAAUUAUCAGAACUGAUUUAGUCUCUUACUGAUUGUACGAUUGAAUCAUUAGAUUAACUGUGUUCGAAUCCAUAGAUGAGGCCUCCACUACUCUGUUUUUGUUGUAUCAUGGUAAAAAGAGAAAAAGGAGAAGGGAAAUCUCAGGAAUAUGCUUCAUGUUAUGCAAACGUUAAGAAGGGCAAGGAGGUUCAACAAGUAGAACUACACAAGCUAAGUUUGAGCACCAAACUGACAACAAGAGCUACAAAGCUAGGCUCAUACUUUCAUUAAGAUACUAAUAAUAAGAAACCAUAUGUUUAGGCACAAAAGUCCCACUUAUUUUUGGUGAUUUUUUGAGUUGGACGAAAUGAUCGGACUGAUUAUAGACUCAAUCACUCAAAACCAAAUUACUCGCAGAAAAGAAAAAAAGGUUCCAAACUUUGUACAACGAUGAGAAACAGAAUAGAAAGAAACACUACGUGAGGAUCAAGGAAACAGAUGAGAUCAAUCCAACGGAAUAGAGAUUUCAUGUAGCAUAAUUCACAAAUAUCUUGCAUUGCCACUGACAGUGCACGUCUCACUAUUAUUUCUUUUAUCCACAGAGAUGCACCCAGUCAAUUAAGACUAGCGUCUACGCCGUCUAGUAGAGUUCAGUUUGGGGAACAUCAACUCUAUUGGGGAUGAAGAUGGACCGUACAAAAUCUCCGACCUGUCAGGCAACACCAACUCUUGCAGGACGGGGAAUGAACCCUGAAAUAGUAGUGAAAUACAUGUAAUUAACGUAAAGAUGAUAUGGAUAACAAAAUAGCUUAUACGUACAGAGAGAUUUUUCAUACAUUUUAAUUUGUUAUUUCAACAGUAGUAAUUCUUUUAGGUUUCAAUUGAAAAAAUGACCAUUACAUAUAUAUCCUUGAACAUAAAAUUUCAUGAGAUGUAUGUAGAAAACAGCAUCUGGAAUUCUGGACCAACAAUGAUCAAUGUUGCAAAUAAUAAGUAUGACAUCAAAUAUGAGUAAUAUUGACCAUGCCUCGAAUCUAGUAGAAUAUGAGGGGGAGAAGAAUACGAAUAAGUAGAACUCUUACGCACCUUAUCAAUGAGAAAGAAAGGUUGUUUAGUUGGAGCAUGCAGUUGUGUUUCCUGAAAGUGUGAUACUUCUGCAGCAAAAGUCUCCAGAGAACAACGAGAAAACACGAAAUAUUGGAGUGAUGGCCACUCAGAAGUAUGCAUCGCGGGAUAGAAGCUCGUAACUGUGUCCAUAGAGUCAAACAUCAUAGCUUUGACUUUUGGGAAUAUAAACCUAGGAUGUGUUGUUGAUUCUACUGCACCUUCUUCCUUGCCAACAACAUUCCUCAUUUCAAAACAAUAACGCAACUCCAGCUCCUGCAACUGCUGAAGUCCUUUGGUUACCAUAGAUGCGGGGAAAACAUAUCUCAAAUUGUGACAGAAGUAUAUCGUAACCGACUUCAGAUUUUGACCGUCUUUCAAAUGAGUGGUUGUUGUGCCAGUACUUUCUCCGCUUUCAUCAAAUACUACUCUCGCUGACGCGCAACCAAAUAUAACCAAGGUUUCCAGACCACUCAAUCUUCCUGUCAUACUUGGUGGAAAAAUACUACUUACACCACUGCAAUUCUCCAGGUGAAAUUCUCUGAGUCUGCAAAAUGAGCCUGGUGCUAGUUGGUUGUGCCAUAUUUUCUUCAAGGCUGUGUCUUCUCCGUAUUUGAUGAUUUUCAAUAUCUCCAAUCUUGGAAAUCUUACCUGCACAAUUAUUUCGCUUUCAACUUAGAGACUUAUUGCCUUUAUAAUUAAGUGGACUUAUUAAUUGAAAAUUGAUCGAGAACCAGAGAUGUAAAAUUACCUUUUCGUCAAAGAGAACGUUUCCCCAGUAUGUAGCACUUUCUCCUAGUUUACUACAGCCAUCUACAUGUAGCUCCUCCAAUAAUGGAAAAUCAAUACAACUUCCAGCUGUACAGAAUCUAGCAAAGUUUGGAAGUUCAUUCAACGUGAGUCUUUCUAGCUUAGCAAAUAUGUUAUCCACAUCUUCUUCAUGGGACUCUAUUGUAGAAACUAUCUCUUCCAUGUCUCGGCAGCUACAUACCUCGAGAUAUUUGAGUUUUACAAGACUUCUGACCAUAGAAGAUGUAAACAAGUAUUUGAAGCCAUCACAGGAAGACACGUCCAAUGUUGUUAAGUUGGACAUCACAAUCUGUAGUGCACAUAUUACUAAUUAGUUAUGUACAAAUUGUCUUACGAUCGUUGAAUAAAAGAUACAAUAAAAAAUGAGUACAAGAAUUAAGCUCAUGAGACCAAUGUGAAAAUGAAAUCAACGUACGUACCUUUGUCUUCAUGAGAAAUGAAAAAUCACCUCCAUUCACGGUAAAAAUAUCACACUUCUUGAGCAAUAUUUUUACAUUCUCGUUCAAUUCAAAUCUGGGAUGGGGCUGUAGUUUAAGGGUAUUGAGAGUUGUUUCUUCCAUAGAACCGAAGUCCCCGUCGCCAAGAAAUAUUUGGUAUUUUUCCAACCUGUCCGAGAAAAACUUUGGUGGAAGAAUGUCAAUAUCUGGAAUGUGUACUUCUAAUGCGGUUACGUUGGGCAAGUUCAUCAGCUCCAAAAGGCUCGCAAUACUUGUUUCACUGUCUAAUUCUUCGGAUUCAUAUUGUUUGGCGGUACCCUCCCAUUUGUCAAAGCUGUUUCUCAAUCUCAAGUCUUCGAGUUUUGUCCAAUUGGAAAUGACACCAGCUGGAAUCACACUAAGAAAAAGGCAAUCAGACAAAUCCACCAACCGUAGACGGGUUAACUGCCCAAAUUCUUGGGGUAACUGUCUAACAUUGGACUGUACCAUGCUAAGAAUUUCCAAGUUUCUUAGUUCUCCAACUAGGGCUAGGUUCGUGUCUUCGAAAUAAUAUCCGUCUAAACACAAUGUCUGGAGAUUCUUUAAAGAUGAAAAAGAUGAGGGUAGAAGCACAGAUCUUAAUCCCAAUACCUUGAGUUUUUUCAUCUCCUCGAAAAAGUUGUUUGGUAUUUCAUCAUCUUCAUUGUCAUCAUCAUCUCCUCUGACUAAAUGUAACAGCUCCAGUUGUGGACAUUUCCAAGGUACUUGCGGAAGAGUGGCGAUCUUGCAACAAGGCAAACAAAUCUUACUGCACUCAAUAAAGAACUCUUCAUCUGGCCAUUUUUCCAACUUAUUAUGACCUCCAUCUUCAACCAAGGCAUGUUGAACUCUCCGUGCAAUCCUGUUAGCAACAUCACGUACAAGAUCAUGCAUUCUGACACAUGUACCAUCAUCACCGUCUAACAAUAGACAACAACUUUUGAGCUUGUCAACCUGUUCAUACAAGGCAUUUCGUGCUUCUUCCACGGUACAGUCUUGAAAGAAACCCAAACCUAUGCUAUAUUUCAACAAGGUUGUCAAUGAAAUAUUGUUGCCCAUAGCGACAGAACCACACAACAAGAACAGUGAUUGAAGUUGCUCCUUGUCACUCAAUUGAGUGUAACUCCACUCGAUACCCGAGUAUGCCUUGUGAGUCAAGUCUCCUUUCUCAUCAAACCUUUCGAGCUUUUUCAAGGCAUUUUUCCAGAUGGGUAGAUUCUUGUUUUCUAAUGCUCUUGCAACUGUGAUAACCAAAACAGGCAACCCCCCACAUUUCUCGGCUACUUGAGCUGCUACAGGUCGAAUAGUAGGAUCCGCAACAACAUCACCUGCUUUCUUUUCAAAUAAAGCCCAUGCUUCUUUGUCAUCCAAUACCCCAAGCGGAAACUCCUUUUGCUUAAUCUUAUGAGAAAAUACUUGUUGACUCCUGGAUGUCAACAAUAUUCUACAAGUGGAUUUGUGGGGAAGUCCCACAGCCUUCAAAUCAACUUCUUCCCAAACAUCAUCAAAAAUGACGAGAGUGUUGUUGUUCUUGAUUCUUUCAUUUAUUUUAUCGGCCCUUCCAGGUAGAGUAUGCGCUUCCAAAAUAUUCUUCAGACCUAACUUGUCAGCAAUUUGCUUUUGAAUUGCUUCCAAGUUUGGAACUUUCACAUCCCUUACCAUUACUGCAUCCUGAAAGAGCUUCUCUUUUUGAGCUUUCCUUAGAACUUCUUCAACGAGCGUGGUCUUUCCCACACCCCCAACACCAUACACCAAUAUCAUAUCAGAACUAGAGGUACUUCUCAAUUCCUUCAAGAUUUUCUCCACUACUGAACUUCUUGAAUCAAAUUCCUCAUAGUCUUCGUCAGAUGCGAUACAUUCAUCUUCUGGGGGAACAACGUAUGAAAUAUCAGGAAAAUCUCUUUUCUCAUAUAAUUCAGUAACCCCCUGCAGCAACUCCAAUAAUUCCUUGCUUCCAUGACUUAAAGAGGCGUUUGGCUUUUCAAUUGCUUGGAUGCCAUCUUUCAUAAAUUCGCUUGCAUCUUCAGUUGAUCGGUGCUUGUCUUUCAAAUACUGUUCUGCUUUUUUAACAAUCUCAGUCACUCUUUUUAGCCAGUCUAGGACAUUCUUAUGGAUUUUUUCACCCUUCACUUCAGCUGCAGCGACCUCCUCAGCUAACGUCUCUUUAGCAACACUUAAUUUAUCCACUUCAGUCUGUAGAUCUUUAGGGGGUUCGAAUGAAAUGUCAGGAAAAUCUCUUUUCUCAUAUAGUUCAGUAACCCCCUGCAGCAACUCCAAUAAUUCCUUGCUUCCAUGACUUAAGGAGGCGUUUGGCUUUUCAAUUGCUUGGAUUUCAUCUUUUGAGAAUUCGGUUGCCUCCUCAACUGAUUGGUGCUUGUCUUUCAACAAUUCUUCUGCCACUUCAGUAAUCUCAGCCACUUUUUUCAGCCAGUCUUGGACAUUUGCAUGGAUCGUUUCACCCUUCACUUUAGCUGCAGCAACCUUCUCAGCUAACGUAUCUUUAGCAACUCUUAAUUUGUCCACUUCAGUCUCUAGAUCUUUAGGGCCUUUAGGGGGGACGUACGCAAUGUCAGAAAGUUCUUUUGCUUCGUUGAUCAGCUCGGUAACAGCUACAACCAAUGCCAACGAGUUCUUGCUUCGACGACGACGGAGCACCGGAUUUGGACAAAACCCAUGGACACAUUUCGUCUUUGGUUGGCCAUCAUCUUUCAAGGAAUUAUUUGCGUUUUCAACAGUAGGUUGUUGCUUAUCUUUCAACAGUUGUUCUGCCUCCUUAGUGAUCCUAGCCACAUUUUCCAGCCAAACCUGGACACCCGAAUAAAUCUUUUCACCCUUGGCUUCAGCUACGGUAAUCUUCGUACUCACUGUGUCCUUUGCCUCACUUAAUUUUCUCAAUUCAGUCUCAAGAUUUUCAAGGUUGCGUUUGUAGUGGAUCAAAUAACCCACUUGCCGUCCAACUGUUGAACCCGCAAACCCCAAAAUCUUUCCAACAAGAUCUGUAGCAGUUCCAGUAGCAAUCUCCAUAUCUGUUGAUAUAAUGCAGAGUAAGUAUAACAUGACAGGUGUUAAAACAAGGAAACUAAAUGACCAUAGAAGGAAGAAAUAACGAGCAAGUCUAGCACUCUAACUGAGUUGGUGAGUCUCAUAGAUAUCUCAGAUUGUUUACAUUAGUCUACUACCUGAAUCUAAAUACGUACAGGUAUACUAAUCCAGCAAACUACUAAGUAAAAUCUUGAUCAAGAACAAUAGCUGAUUCUUCUAUAGACUAGGCCCAAGUUUCUUUGUCAGCAAAGGCAAAUGUUUGUGUUCAUCAUUUCCUCGUAAUCAACUUAGUAAAGAUCCGAGAAAAAGGAAUGAGUCUUAUGUUGAGAAUUGAUCUGUGAUAAUAGGUCGGAUCGUACCAAUAUCAAUCUAUUGUAUCUAUUUAUUGUUAUUCAAAUAUUGGCUUUAUCCAUAGACAUCUCAGAUCUUAAGUGUUAUAUAUGUAGUAUUUUUCCUUCACAUGAAAGUAAUUGAAGAACAUACACGAAGAAGGAAAUUGAACGAACACAAAAGAAAGAAAGAAAUUGAAGAACGUACCUGUAUGCCACAAUCUUUUGGUCCUCUUCGUCUAGAACACCAUAGUGAAAAUGUAAUCCGUCUGGUAAUGAACUUUGGAUGAGAAAGCCAACACUAACUAGUGUCUAAUUAUUUUUAAAGCUAACCAGCCAAUUCUUUGUCUAAUCGGUCAACAAUAGCGUCUAAUUAAAUUAUCACAGACUUCAUCAGUUGAAUAAUUAAUUUCCCUUUCAUAGCAAAGCACAGCUGAUCAGCCAAGACUUUGUCUCAGAAGAAACAAAACCUGGAAGAAAACCCCAACUCUUUCAUAUGUUAAUUAACAAGAGUUGAUGGGUUCUUAGCUGAGGCCAUCAUCUGAAAAAUAUUUUCUUCAGGAUAACAAGUUUGCAAAGUAACAUGGUGUGGCCAUCUUCACUGGAUCCAGAUAGUAUAAGUUGACUCAGUGCUUUUAUUCAAUACAAAUUGUUCUAAUAGAAACAUGGUUAGAUGGGAAAAAAUUAACAGGUAGGAAUCUUGUAACAGUUUUCCGAACUUAGUUUGUGAAUCAAGACACCCAUCAUGUACAAGCAGAAACAAUAUAUAAAGCAGGAACAAACAAUAUAUCAAAGUAGGGAUAAUAUGUCUGUUAUGGAGUAUGGAGUAACCACAGACCUCGAGCAUUCUAAAUCCUAAGAAACAAAAAGCCUAGCAGCCACAAGGUUACAAGUUAGGGGAAAGAUCUUGACAUCUAAAAGUCUUCUGACCUUUUCAUUGCGUAGGAGCCCCAAGUCCUAACUGCAGAGUUCCUUGGCCUUAUCAUUGAGUAGGAGACUGUCCGAUUUUCUCUUCUUUGUUGCAUCAAGCCUCUUCACAUAGGAAAUGUAUCCAUCCACGUCAAAUUUCCUUUUGCAGCCUGCAUAGUUCAUGUAACGUAUUUUCCCAAAAAUUGGUCGUUCCUUCCAACCCUGAAAUUCC